AAAUUAAAUGGCUGCAGUAACCAUGACUGUAAAAAUGUAGCAUAAUAAUUCGCCACCUAAUUAGUGGAUAGUAUGAAUGGUUUAACGAAAAUUCCACUGUCUUAUAUAAUUAAAAAAAAAUUUAAAUCAUAGUUAAGAUGUAUGUAAAACUGUAAGACGAAAAGACCCUAUAAAGCUUAACUAUAUUUCUUAAAAAUUUAAUUGAAAAAUUAACCUAUUAAGAUUUGGUAGUUUCAUUGGGGCGAUGAUCUCUAAAAAUAAACAGAGAUAAACCUAUACAAUAAUAAAGAUUUACUGUAUAAUUAAUAAAUUUAACAGUUACAAAGUAGGGUAUAAUGACCCAUUAUUUUAAUAAAAAAAGAAGAUAAUGAUCAAUAAAUAAAAGCUACUUUAGGGAUAACAGGAUAAUAAUUUCUUAGAGACCCAAUCGAAGAAAAAGUUUAUCACCUCGAUGUUGAAUUAAGAUAACCUAAUGACGCANC
rnacentral:rRNA from 1 species